AUUGAACGCUGGCGGCAGGCCUAACACAUGCAAGUCGAGCGGGGUUUUCGGACCUAGCGGCGGACGGGUGAGUAAUGCGUAGGAAGCUGCCCGAUAGAGGGGGAUACCAGUUGGAAACGACUGUUAAUACCGCAUAAUGUCUACGGACCAAAGUGUGGGACCUUCGGGCCACAUGCUAUCGGAUGCGCCUACGUGGGAUUAGCUAGUUGGUGAGGUAAUGGCUCACCAAGGCGACGAUCUCUAGCUGGUUGGAGAGGAUGAUCAGCCACACUGGAACAGGGACACGGUCCAGACACCUACGGGAGGCAGCAGUGGGGAAUAUUGUGCAAUGGGCGCAAUCCUGAUCCAGCCAUGCCGCGUGUGUGAAGAAGGCCUUCGGGUUGUAAAGCACUUUCAGCGAGGAGGAAGGGGUGUGUGUUAAUAGUACACACCUUUGACGUUACUCGCAGAAGAAGCACCGGCUAACUCUGUGCCAGCCGCCGCCGUAACAC
rnacentral:rRNA from 1 species